GUAGCGGCAAAAAAGCGAAGCUGGCGAAACAUUUAUAACGGGUCACCGUCACUUAUUAUUGGACUUAUAGCGCAUUUACGGGGUUGCAACUAUUUUGCUUUAUAGUGUCACCAGGAAAGAAAAGCAUGCGACCUAACGCCGAUCUAUUUGUAUAAAGUGAUAAUUGGAAGGCACACAUUGACAUAGACCACUGUUGCAAUCAACGACACAGUCGCUAUCCAAGUAGCAUUAUAGAGCUGUCAUGCAACGCAACAACUGUGCUAUCUGCCAUCGCACAUCAACGAAGAAGUGCAGCCGCCCACAUUCCACCUCACGUCUGUCCGACCAGCUGCAAUCCUCGAGGACGCCACACUGUACCACGAUUUCACUACGAUGUUUGACAAGAAGGAGCAGUGCGCGAGAUAGGCUAAUGAGCAGACUUCCCUCGCUUGAGUUUCGGAAGAAUGUUCCAUAUCGCGCUAAGCUGACCACUGCUGACCAUGACAGGCGUGCAUUGGACUGGUACAGGUUGGAACUGAACAUUGAAUAUGCUGGUGGUGACGCUUUCUGAUGAGAAGUUGGUCGUGACUGAUGCAGUCUCCUUGGACUUGUCCACAGCAUCGUUCAAUCAUUGCUCUCUGAGCUGCCUUGAUUCUGUACCCAAAUACUAAGACCAAAUGCCUGUUGACUGUGCUUUAAGAGAGACUGGCGCCAUGCCUAGAGAUAUGACUGACCCCUAUUGGCAAAUUUGUAUGACUUUAUCUUGCCUACCUAGCUGCUGCCUAUAGUCUCCCUUUAACUGCGGAACACUUCAAAGUCGAUAAAAUGCCAUGU